rnacentral:rRNA from 1 species
UACGUAGGGUGCAAGCGUUAAUCGGAAUUACUGGGCGUAAAGCGUGCGCAGGCGGUUUUGUAAGACAGGCGUGAAAUCCCCGGGCUUAACCUGGGAAUGGCGCUUGUGACUGCAAAGCUGGAGUGCGGCAGAGGGGGAUGGAAUUCCGCGUGUAGCAGUGAAAUGCGUAGAUAUGCGGAGGAACACCGAUGGCGAAGGCAAUCCCCUGGGCCUGCACUGACGCUCAUGCACGAAAGCGUGGGGAGCAAACAGGAUUAGAUACCCUGGUAGUCCACGCCCUAAACGAUGUCAACUGGUUGUUGGGUCUCUUCUGACUCAGUAACGAAGCUAACGCGUGAAGUUGACCGCCUGGGGAGUACGGCCGCAAGGUUG